GUGUCAGCAGCCGCGGUAAGACAGAGGGUGCAAACGUUGCUCGGAAUUACUGGGCGUAAAGCGCGUGUAGGCGGACCACCAAGUCAGGCGUGAAAUCCCUGGGCUCAACCCAGGAACUGCACCUGAAACUGGCGGUCUUGAGUGGUGGAGAGGGAAGCAGAAUUCCUGGUGUAGAGGUGAAAUUCGUAGAUAUCAGGAGGAACACCGGUGGCGAAGGCGGCUUCCUGGACACUAACUGACGCUGAGACGCGAAAGCGUGGGGAGCAAACAGGAUUAGAAACCCCCGUAGUCC
rnacentral:rRNA from 1 species